rnacentral:rRNA from 1 species
GGGUUGUGAGGUUAAGCGACUAAGCGUACACGGUGGAUGCCCUGGCAGUCAGAGGCGAUGAAGGGCGUGCUAAUCUGCGAUAAGCGCCGGUAAGGUGAUAUGAACCGUUAUAACCGGCGAUACCCGAAUGGGGAAACCCAGUGUGAUUCGUCACACUAUCAUUAACUGAAUCCAUAGGUUAAUGAGGCGAACCGGGGGAACUGAAACAUCUAAGUACCCCGAGGAAAAGAAAUCAACCGAGAUUCCCCCAGUAGCGGCGAGCGAACGGGGAGGAGCCCAGAGCCUGAAUCAGCAUGUGUGUUAGUGGAAGCGUCUGGAAAGGCGCGCGAUACAGGGUGACAGCCCCGUACACAAAAGCGCAUGUGCUGUGAGCUCGAUGAGUAGGGCGGGACACGUGGUAUCCUGUCUGAAUAUGGGGGGACCAUCCUCCAAGGCUAAAUACUCCUGACUGACCGAUAGUGAACCAGUACCGUGAGGGAAAGGCGAAAAGAACCCCGGCGAGGGGAGUGAAAAAGAACCUGAAACCGUGUACGUACAAGCAGUGGGAGCACAGGUUUACCUGUGUGACUGCGUACCUUUUGUAUAAUGGGUCAGCGACUUAUAUUCUGUAGCAAGGUUAACCGAAUAGGGGAGCCGUAGGGAAACCGAGUCUUAACCGGGCGUUAAGUUGCAGGGUAUAGACCCGAAACCCGGUGAUCUAGCCAUGGGCAGGUUGAAGGUUGGGUAACACUAACUGGAGGACCGAACCGACUAAUGUUGAAAAAUUAGCGGAUGACCUGUGGCUGGGGGUGAAAGGCCAAUCAAACCGGGAGAUAGCUGGUUCUCCCCGAAAGCUAUUUAGGUAGCGCCUCGUGAAUUCAUCUCCGGGGGUAGAGCACUGUUUCGGCUAGGGGGCCAUCCCGGCUUACCAACCCGAUGCAAACUGCGAAUACCGGAGAAUGUUAUCACGGGAGACACACGGCGGGUGCUAACGUCCGUCGUGAAGAGGGAAACAACCCAGACCGCCAGCUAAGGUCCCAAAGUCAUGGUUAAGUGGGAAACGAUGUGGGAAGGCCCAGACAGCCAGGAUGUUGGCUUAGAAGCAGCCAUCAUUUAAAGAAAGCGUAAUAGCUCACUGGUCGAGUCGGCCUGCGCGGAAGAUGUAACGGGGCUAAACCAUGCACCGAAGCUGCGGCAGCGACACUGUGUGUUGUUGGGUAGGGGAGCGUUCUGUAAGCCUGUGAAGGUGUGUCGUGAGGCAUGCUGGAGGUAUCAGAAGUGCGAAUGCUGACAUAAGUAACGAUAAAGCGGGUGAAAAGCCCGCUCGCCGGAAGACCAAGGGUUCCUGUCCAACGUUAAUCGGGGCAGGGUGAGUCGACCCCUAAGGCGAGGCCGAAAGGCGUAGUCGAUGGGAAACAGGUUAAUAUUCCUGUACUUGGUGUUACUGCGAAGGGGGGACGGAGAAGGCUAUGUUGGCCGGGCGACGGUUGUCCCGGUUUAAGCGUGUAGGUGUGUGUUCCAGGUAAAUCCGGUUCACUUUAACACUGAGGCGUGAUGACGAGGCACUACGGUGCUGAAGCAACAAAUGCCCUGCUUCCAGGAAAAGCCUCUAAGCAUCAGGUAACAUCAAAUCGUACCCCAAACCGACACAGGUGGUCAGGUAGAGAAUACCAAGGCGCUUGAGAGAACUCGGGUGAAGGAACUAGGCAAAAUGGUGCCGUAACUUCGGGAGAAGGCACGCUGACACGUAGGUGAAGUGAUUUACUCAUGGAGCUGAAGUCAGUCGAAGAUACCAGCUGGCUGCAACUGUUUAUUAAAAACACAGCACUGUGCAAACACGAAAGUGGACGUAUACGGUGUGACGCCUGCCCGGUGCCGGAAGGUUAAUUGAUGGGGUCAGCGCAAGCGAAGCUCCUGAUCGAAGCCCCGGUAAACGGCGGCCGUAACUAUAACGGUCCUAAGGUAGCGAAAUUCCUUGUCGGGUAAGUUCCGACCUGCACGAAUGGCGUAAUGAUGGCCAGGCUGUCUCCACCCGAGACUCAGUGAAAUUGAACUCGCUGUGAAGAUGCAGUGUACCCGCGGCAAGACGGAAAGACCCCGUGAACCUUUACUAUAGCUUGACACUGAACAUUGAGCCUUGAUGUGUAGGAUAGGUGGGAGGCUUUGAAGCGUGGACGCCAGUCUGCGUGGAGCCGACCUUGAAAUACCACCCUUUAAUGUUUGAUGUUCUAACGUGGACCCGUAAUCCGGGUUGCGGACAGUGUCUGGUGGGUAGUUUGACUGGGGCGGUCUCCUCCUAAAGAGUAACGGAGGAGCACGAAGGUUGGCUAAUCCUGGUCGGACAUCAGGAGGUUAGUGCAAUGGCAUAAGCCAGCUUGACUGCGAGCGUGACGGCGCGAGCAGGUGCGAAAGCAGGUCAUAGUGAUCCGGUGGUUCUGAAUGGAAGGGCCAUCGCUCAACGGAUAAAAGGUACUCCGGGGAUAACAGGCUGAUACCGCCCAAGAGUUCAUAUCGACGGCGGUGUUUGGCACCUCGAUGUCGGCUCAUCACAUCCUGGGGCUGAAGUAGGUCCCAAGGGUAUGGCUGUUCGCCAUUUAAAGUGGUACGCGAGCUGGGUUUAGAACGUCGUGAGACAGUUCGGUCCCUAUCUGCCGUGGGCGCUGGAGAACUGAGGGGGGCUGCUCCUAGUACGAGAGGACCGGAGUGGACGCAUCACUGGUGUUCGGGUUGUCAUGCCAAUGGCACUGCCCGGUAGCUAAAUGCGGAAGAGAUAAGUGCUGAAAGCAUCUAAGCACGAAACUUGCCCCGAGAUGAGUUCUCCCUGAGACUUAGAGUCUCCUGAAGGAACGUUGAAGACGACGACGUUGAUAGGCCGGGUGUGUAAGCGCAGCGAUGCGUUGAGCUAACCGGUACUAAUGAACCGUGAGGCUUAACCUUACAACGCCGAAGCUGUU